UUGGAGGGCAAGUCUGGUGCCAGCAGCCGCGGUAAUUCCAGCUCCAAUAGCGUAUAUUAAAGUUGUUGCAGUUAAAAAGCUCGUAGUUGAAUUUCGGAAUCUGUCCGUCGGUCGGGCUUCACUGUCCGUACUGGUGUGAUGGGUUUCUACCUUCUGAAUAACCGGCAUGUCAUUAAUUUGGUGCGCCGGGGAAGCAGAACUAUUACCUUGAAAAAAUUAGAGUGCUUAAAGCAGGCUAUCGCCUGAAUAGAUUAGCAUGGAAUAAUAAAAUAGGACGGCAUGGUUCUAUUUUGUUGGUUUCUAGGAUCACCGUAAUGAUUAAUAGGGAUAGUUGGGGGCAUUAGUAUUCAAUUGUCAGAGGUGUAAUUCUUGGAUUUAUUGAAGACUAACUUCUGCGAAAGCAUUUGCCAAGGAUGUUUUCAUUAAUCAAGAACGAAAGUUAGGGGAUCGAAGACGAUCAGAUACCGUCGUAGUCUUAACCAUAAACUAUGCCGACUAGGGAUCGGACGAUGUUAAUUUUUUAAUGACUCGUUCGGCGCCUUACGGGAAAC
rnacentral:rRNA from 1 species